GACGAACGCUGGCGGCGUGCUUAACACAUGCAAGUCGAACGGAAAGGCCCGCUUGUUGGGUACCCGAGGUGCGCACGGGAGGGGAACAUGUGAGUAACCUACCCUUCCUAUAAGGCUAACUUCAGGAAACGAGGGCUAAUCCAGGAUAGGAUCUUCUGCUGCAUGGUGGGGGUUGGUAGGUAUCGGCGGUUGUGGCUGGGCUCGCGGCUGAUCAGGUUGUUGGUUGGGUAGUUGGUAACCAAGGGUCUGACGGGUAGCCGGCCCGAGAGGGUGACCGGCCACCAUGGGACUGAGAGACGGACCAGUCUCCUACGGGAGGCAGUAGUCGGGAGUAUUGCAGAAUGGGCGGAAGCGUGAUGCAGCAACGCCGCGUGCGGGAUGACGUCCUUCGAGUUGUAAACCGCUUUCGACUGAGACGAAGCGUGAGUGACGGUAAUGGGUAAAGAAGCACCGGCUAACUACGUG
rnacentral:rRNA from 1 species